rnacentral:rRNA from 1 species
UACGUAGGGUGCAAGCGUUGUCCGGAAUUAUUGGGCGUAAAGAGCUCGUAGGCGAUUUGUCGCGUCUGCUGUGAAAACUCGGGGCUUAACCCCGGGCCUGCAGUGGGUACGGGCAGACUAGAGUGUGGUAGGGGAGACUGGAAUUCCUGGUGUAGCGGUGAAAUGCGCAGAUAUCAGGAGGAACACCGAUGGCGAAGGCAGGUCUCUGGGCCACUACUGACGCUGAGAAGCGAAAGCAUGGGGAGCGAACAGG